CGAAGGGUUCCGUCCCAGAGCAAAAUAAUCACGUUUGUUGUAGGGUAGGGUGGUAGCCAAUGAACCGCGUGUACACUAUGAACCAUGGUACCUACCGGUCAUACCUAACGUUGCUAGCUCGCGCAAAAAUUAUGUCGAGACUCCCUUUCCACGUCAAGAAGUUUGGUCUAUUCGCCGUGGGUCUGUCGCGAUAUACUCACCUGUGAGCCGCGUCUUAGUCUUCUACUCAAGCAAAAACGACAAAAAAAGCAUGGGGCGAAACACGGUAGGGAGGAAAGCACGUAAAAAAGGGUAUCACACCGCGGAAGCUACACAAAGAGGUAAAGAAAAAACACUUGUCGGGAUUAAGCAUUCGAAAAUUAGCAAAAACUGCAACCUUCUCUAUCCAGUAUUGUGACAGACGAAGUAUUUGUGCGAAGAUAUGUCACAAACAAAGUACAGGAACAAUCCAGCUUGUAGACUAGAGCCCCAUUAUGAUGCAAGUAAUUUUUUUACUGCCCAACAUGAAGACAGCAUAAAGAAAUGUUGAUUGUUACAAU